CUGUUCUGCAAGUCCUCCGUUAAAUCCACUCGCUUAACGGAUGGGCUGCGGGGGAUACUGCAGAGCUAGGAGGCGGGAGAGGCAAACGGUACUCAGUAGGUAGGGGUAAAAUCCAUUGAUCUACUGAAGACCACCAGUGGCGAAGGCGGUUUGCCAGAACGCGCUCGACGGUGAGGGAUGAAAGCUGGGGGAGCAAACCGGAUUAGAUACCCGGGUAGUCCCAGCUGUAAACGAUGCAGACUCGGUGAUGGGUUGGCCUCGAGCCAACCCAGUGCCGCAGGGAAGCCGUUAAGUCUGCCGCCUGGGGA
rnacentral:rRNA from 1 species